rnacentral:rRNA from 1 species
UGGGGAAUAUUGCACAAUGGGCGCAAGCCUGAUGCAGCAAUGCCGCGUGAGUGAAGACGGCCUUAGGGUUGUAAAGCUCUUUCGCCUGUGAAGAUAAUGACGGUAGCAGGUAAAGAAACCCCGGCUAACUCCGUGCCAGCAGCCGCGGUAAUACGGAGGGGGUUAGCGUUGUUCGGAAUUACUGGGCGUAAAGCGCACGUAGGCGGACCAGAAAGUUGGGGGUGAAAUCCCGGGGGCUCAACCCCGGAACUGCCUCCAAAACUAUUGGUCUAGAGUUCGAGAGAGGUGAGUGGAAUUCCAAGUGUAGAGGUGAAAUUCGUAGAUAUUUGGAGGAACACCAGUGGCGAAGGCGGCUCACUGGCUCGAUACUGACGCUGAGGUGCGAAAGUGUGGGGAGCAAACAGGAUUAGAUACCCUGGUAGUCCACACCGUAAAACGAUGAAUGCCAGUCGUCGGGUAGCAUGCUAUUCGGUGACACACCUAACGGAUU